CAGCAGCCACGGUAAUACGAAGGGGGCUAGCGUUGUUCGGAAUUACUGGGCGUAAAGCGCACGUAGGCGGAUAUUUAAGUCAGGAGUGAAAUCCCAGAGCACAACUCUGGAACUGCCUUUGAUACUGGGUAUCUUGAGUAUGGAAGAGGUGAGUGGAAUUCCGAGUGUAGAGGUGAAAUUCGUAGAUAUUCGGAGGAACACCAGUGGCGAAGGCGGCUCACUGGUCCAUUACUGACGCUGAGGUGCGAAAGCGUGGGGAGCAAACAGGAUUAGAGACCCCCGUAGUCCCUGUCUCUUAUAC
rnacentral:rRNA from 1 species